AGUGAACGCUGGCGGUAGGCCUAACACAUGCAAGUCGAACGGCAGCACAGAGGAGCUUGCUCCUUGGGUGGCGAGUGGCGGACGGGUGAGGGAUACAUCGGAAUCUACUCUGUCGUGGGGGAUAACGUAGGGAAACUUACGCUAAUACCGCAUACGACCUACGGGUGAAAGCAGGGGGUCUUCGGACCUUGCGCGAUUGAAUGAGCCGAUGUCGGAUUAGCUAGUUGGCGGGGUAAAGGCCCACCAAGGCGACGAUCCGUAGCUGGUCUGAGAGGAUGAUCAGCCACACUGGAACUGAGACACGGUCCAGACUCCUACGGGAGGCAGCAGUGGGGAAUAUUGGACAAUGGGCGCAAGCCUGAUCCAGCCAUACCGCGUGGGUGAAGAAGGCCUUCGGGUUGUAAAGCCCUUUUGUUGGGAAAGAAAUCCAUCUGGUUAAUACCCGGGUGGGAUGACGGUACCCAAAGAAUAAGCACCGGCUAACUUCGUGCCAGCAGCCGCAGUAA
rnacentral:rRNA from 1 species